rnacentral:rRNA from 1 species
UACGUAGGGGGCUAGCGUUGUCCGGAAUCAUUGGGCGUAAAGCGCGUGUAGGCGGCCCGGUAAGUCCGCUGUGAAAGUCCGGGGCUCAACCCCGGGAGGCGGGUGGAUACUGUCGAGCUAGAGUCCGGAAGAGGCGAGUGGAAUUCCUGGUGUAGCGGUGAAAUGCGCAGAUAUCAGGAGGAACACCAAUGGCGAAGGCAGCUCGCUGGGACGGUACUGACGCUGAGACGCGAAAGCGUGGGGAGCAAACAGG